CCCCGCUGCUCCUUCACCUUCCACUGCGCUGAUUUCGAGGGUCGCUCCGUCCGCAGCUCCAUCGAGUUCAACCGGCUCGAGCCCCGGGCGGGGAGGGGGGGGGGGCUCUGCUGCUCCCCCCGGCACCGAGGGGCCCAUGGUGGAGCGGAAAUGCCCCCGCUGUGGGCACGAGGGGAUGUCCUACCACACCCGGCAGAUGCGCUCGGCCGACGAGGGGCAGAGCGUCUUCUACACCUGCCCCCGCUGCAGGUUGCAGGAGAAGGAGGAUUCCUAAAAGAAUUCCUAAAAGAAUUCCUAAAAAAAAGGGGUUUGGGGGACAAUAAAAGCCCCCCCGGGGGGUAUUUUGGCAAUUAAAGCCCCCCCCUCCAUGAGGGGUGUUUUUGGGA